GCCAGGUAGGCCGGGGUGCCCACCACGGAACGCCUGAACGACUUCUCGCCGAUGAUACGGGCGAAGCCAAAGUCACACAGUUUGACCUGCCGGGGCACACAAACAAGGAAGCCUUCUACUACACACUUUAUACACACACACACACUUUGUACACACACCAGCAAUCAUUGGCUAGACAGACGGUACACCUGUAUGACAGGUUCGUGGUUGCUGGUUGAUACCUGAGGAAAGGACUCAGCUGAGGCCAACAGCACGUUCUCGGGCUUCAGGUCACAAUGGACGAUGUUCUUGAAAUGCAGAUGUCUCAAAGCCACCAGGAUCUGUACAGAACAUAGCCCAAAGCCUGUGGGUUAGUUCGAUAUAACCUCAUUAACAACCCAUCCUGUUUGCAGGAUGUGAUUUCGCAUUCAGUGCUUUUUUUUCUUUUCAUUACAGGUUAAGACUGUGCUGUAGGCUUAAGACAGAAACGUUAGAAGGGUGGUUGGUCAGGGAGGAUGGAAGGGUGUCCAAUCAAUGACCUCUAUUAUCCCUGGACUGCUUACGCUUUGUCCAAGCCCUCAUUGAUACUCCUCCUUUCAGGGCUUUGAGCAAUUGGAGUGAGUUGGGCAAAAAUGACACCCCCAAGACAGCCUUUUUCACAAACAAUGCAACAAAAUGGGGCAUAUGAAUUCAGCAUCAAUUCAAGAUAUCCAGACUCAUCAGACCAGGCAACAUUCUUCCAGUCUUCAACUGUCCAAUUUUGCAGGACAGAACCAGGACUGACCCAAGACGGAACCAGGACCGACCCAGAAAUGACCCAGGACGGAACCAGGACCGACCCAGGACGGAACCAGGACCGACCCA